CAAAAGUCAUCGAUAGUUUUAAUUAUUUAUGUACUUGUAUAUAUAAAUGGACACUUUUCAUACAAACUUGGUUAAACCGAAGCAAAGAGCUUUAACCAUGCACUAGCAAAUUCUAACGUACAUUCGACACUUGAAAAAAUAGAAACAAGCGAAUACAAUUAGUUUAAUAGCUAUAGAGUUGUAUAUAUGAAAAAGUUAUUGUCGAAGUUGUAAGUACAAAUAAAGCAUCAAAAUCAAUGCAAUAGUAGCCUUAAUUUGAAACUUUAUACAGACAGGUUAUGUUUUUAUUGUGUUUAGUUUACUUUCAGCUUAAAGAAAAUAAUCGUUUACAGUGAAUAACAAAAGUAAGCGCUUGUGUAUUCAUCAUAACUCUUCCACAGCUAACAACUAAAAAUAUCAAUCAAAUGUAACAAUGUUGAUGCUGCAUGAGAAAAUCAAUCCAUGCUAUCCGAACAUUUAACUUAAUAACGAAAGCAGUGCGUUUGUCUAUCUCUUUCCUUAUCUGUGUACAUCUGUACAUAUACAUAUAUAUAUAUAUAGUUAUAUAUACAUGUAUAUAUGUAUGUGUAUCAAUGAGUAUGCGUGUUUGUGUGUGUGUGUGUGUGUGUGUAUGUGUAUGUGUUUGUAGGGCAACUGCUAGUUCUCAGCCCGACCACGCUUCAAGUGGGACAGUUCGAUAAGCCAAGCCUUUAUCAGAUCGUACGUGGAGAAGCUAAUGCCAACGGCAAUGGGACCCUUGAUCCAGUUCAUACUCAGGCCCUUGUAGAAGCCGUUUUUGAUGCCCUCCUCCCUGUGUACAGGUAACGAUGCUCAAAUAUUAGAAUGUGAAUCACAAUCGAUCAAACUCAAUCAUUACCUGUAUAUUGUAACAAGCGUCGCCAGUAUCGUUGGAGAAGACUGCGGCGCAUUGAUGUUCACCCGGGUUGUCUGCAUACGCCGACGCACAAUGUCCAGCGGAUAGCUAGCCGUUUGACCAGCUACACCGGCCGCUGCACCAAAUGCCAGCGAAACAAAAGCAUUCGGGUUUGUAUUGCCAAUGAUUUCUACAAAGAGAGGAAUAGCUUUAUAAUGGAAUGACGGAAGAGAGCAACGAUUUACCAUGAUAUUCGCGUUUGAGCGUUUCGUAGGUGAAGAAGGAGGUACCCGCAUAGGGUAUAACACCCAAGACUGUGGCCCAAUAGCCUCGGAAUAAGGUACGCGGACCCUCCUCCACCCAAAUCCUGGCAAACACCUGGCGCAGCGUGCGAUAGCCCGUGUAUCUAUCCGUGACAGCCAUGCGAGCGCGAGCCAAGUCCAAGGGAUAGGUCAACGAUUGUGAGGUUAUGCCCGCCAGCGAGCCGGCGAUAAAACGGCGUCCCUUAGUGCUAACGAACGAAUACGAAUACUGAAUAAGUUGAUUUCGGAUCAUUAAGGCAUCCCAAUUGCAAUGCCUACUUACCUGGCGCCGUUCUGAUCCACAUGCAGGACGCGUCGCCAUUGCUCGUGGGAUGUGAACUGGAUGGCUGCGUAGGGCACAAUGCGCGCCAUCGUCGCCGAGUUGCCGCGCCACAGGGCGAGCAUGCCCUCCCUGGUGUAUGUCUGCUCCAGAUAGUUGAGCGAGGCCCUGAACGAAAAUGACACAUCUUUGCGUAUCUGGAAGUUGAUUUUCGUGCGGUCCAGGGGAGCAAUUGUGGUCUUGGCCAAUGCACCGGCUGCUGCGCCCGCUAUCAGACUGACGAGCACCUGGUCCACUUUGUUGCGCACUAAAACGGGACGUUCAAAGGGAUACAUUAAUCUUUAGGGAGUCAAUGUCCGCUAGUCUAGCAGAUCUAUUAUUGUAUACACAAUCAAUUUAAUUUUCCAAGUUAUAUUUAAUAUCGCCUAUGUACGCGGUAUCUGCUAGUCUAUCAGCUUUUAUAAUUUAAUAUUCCAAGUAUUUAAUUUAUUUUAUACAUUUAAAAUUUAUAGAAUAUCUGCAUUUGAUCAAUCAAUUUUACGAAAUUUACAAAACACUACUGAAACUAUAUGUCAAAUAAAUUUUAAUCUAUGUUUAAA